ACUGCUGGAUGUCUGACGAGAACAACAGCAGAACGCUUCAUGGUCCAGUAAUUAAACAUGUGUCCUCUGCUGGAUCCGUCUGACCGUCCGAUCUGCUGGAAGCUACUCUGUCUGUGUUCUGACCAGUCGGUGGCUGUGGCCCUUUGAUUUCUGGACAUACUGAACCCUGAACGUGGCUUCACAGAAACCUCCAGCGGCUGUCCGUUGCAGAACGCUCCCUUCCCCCUCCUGGCUGUGAACAUCUUAUCUUCCAGACAGCUGUAUACGACACCAAA